rnacentral:misc_RNA from 1 species
AAGUCGUAACAAGGUUUCCGUAGGUGAACCUGCGGAAGGAUCAUUAACACGUAUCCAAACGUUAAAACCCCCCCCCCGUGAACCUUCAUGUUUCCCCAAGCAGUCAGUGUCUGAAAGUGUCAUUGAUUGUGCAAGGAUAGCGCUUCUACGAUUCCUGUAGACCGUACACUCGGGCAGGAGCUUUGCCAAAGGGUCCCAUGCCCGCUAAUAACCCCACAGUUUAAUGUGAAAGCUCAAUGUAAUACAUUGGGUAAAAAAACCGAACAACUGUUAACAAUGGAUAUCUUGGUUCUC